rnacentral:rRNA from 1 species
AUUGAACGCUGGCGGCAUGCUUUACACAUGCAAGUCGAACGGUAACAGGCCGCAAGGUGCUGACGAGUGGCGAACGGGUGAGUAAUGCAUCGGAACGUGCCCAGUCGUGGGGGAUAACGCAGCGAAAGCUGCGCUAAUACCGCAUACGAUCUAUGGAUGAAAGCCGGGGACCGUAAGGCCUCGCUCGAUUGGAGCGGCCGAUGUCAGAUUAGGUAGUUGGUGGGGGAAAGGCUCACCAAGCCAACGAUCUGUAGCUGGUCUGAGAGGACGACCAGCCACACUGGGACUGAGACACGGCCCAGACUCCUACGGGAGGCAGCAGUGGGGAAUUUUGGACAAUGGGCGCAAGCCUGAUCCAGCAAUGCCGCGUGCAGGAAGAAGGCCUUCGGGUUGUAAACUGCUUUUGUACGGAACGAAACGGUCCUGGUUAAUACCUGGGGCUAAUGACGGUACCGUAAGAAUAAGCACCGGCUAACUACGUGCCAGCAGCCGCCGUAA